rnacentral:rRNA from 1 species
AACGAACGCUGGCGGCAUGCCUAACACAUGCAAGUCGAACGAGACCUUCGGGUCUAGUGGCGCACGGGUGCGUAACGCGUGGGAACCUGCCCUUAGGUUCGGAAUAACUCCCCGAAAGGGGUGCUAAUACCGGAUAAUGUCUUCGGACCAAAGAUUUAUCGCCUUUGGAUGGGCCCGCGUUGGAUUAGCUAGUUGGUAGGGUAAAAGCCUACCAAGGCGACGAUCCAUAGCUGGUCUGAUAGGAUGAUCAGCCACACUGGGACUGAGACACGGCCCAGAAUCCUACGCGAGGCAGCAGUGGAGAAUAUUGGACAAUGGGCGAAAGCCUGAUCCAGCAAUGCCGCGUGAGUGAUGAAGGCCUUAGGGUUGUAAAGCUCUUUUACACGGGAUGAUAAUGACAGUACCGGGAGAAUAAGCUCCGGCUAACUCCGUG